AGGGAGGGAGGUGUUGAGUGGUGGCAGAGUGAGGGGGAGACACAGUGAGGGGGGGUGACUAGUGACAUAGGGAGGGAUGGGGUGACUAGUGACAAUCACCACCUCCCUCACUCUUUCACUAGUCACCACCUCCCUCACUCUGUCACCCCCUCCCUCACUCUGUCACUAGUCACCCACUCCCUCCCUCACUCUGUCACUAGUCACCCCCUCUCUCACUCCAUCACCAGUCAUCCCCUCACUCUGUCACUAGUCACCCCUUCCUUUUCUCUCUGCCACU